GAUGAACGCUGACAGAAUGCUUAACACAUGCAAGUCAACUUGAACUUCGGUUUGGGUGGCGGACGGGUGAGUAACGCGUAAAGAACUUGCCUCACAGAUAGGGACAACAUUUGGAAACGAAUGCUAAUACCUGAUAUUAUGAUUAUAUGGCAUCGUAUAAUUAUGAAAGCUAUAUGCGCUGUGAGAGAGCUUCGCGUCCCAUUAGCUAGUUGGAGAGGUAACGGCUCACCAAGGCGAUGAUGGGUAGCCGGCCUGAGAGGGUGAUCGGCCACAAGGGGACUGAGACACGGCCCUUACUCCUACGGGAGGCAGCAGUGGGGAAUAUUGGACAAUGGACCAAGAGUCUGAUCCAGCAAUUCUGUGUGCACGAUGAAGUUUUUCGGAAUGUAAAGUGCUUUCAGUUGGGAAGAAAAAAAUGACGGUACCAACAGAAGAAGUGACGGCUAAAUACGUG
rnacentral:rRNA from 1 species